rnacentral:lncRNA from 1 species
UCUGUUAAAGACGUUUUGGUUAAGUUUGUGUUAUUCUGUUUCUCUCUCUUAUGCCUGUCUGUCUGUACAUCUCUCUCUCUCUCUCUCUCUCUCUCUCUCUCUCUCUCUCUCUCUCUCUCUCUCUCUCUCUCUCUCUCUCUCUCUCUCUCUCUCUCUCUCUCUCUCUCUCUCUCUCUCUCUCUCUCUCUCUCUCUCUCUCUCUCUCUCUCUCUCUCUCUCUCUCUCUCUCUCUCUCUCUCUCUCUCUCUCUCUCUCUCUCUCUCUCUCUCUCUCUCACUCACACAGAAUGAUGCCAAUUCCAUGGAGGAAAUUAAAAUGUUUAUCCGGAGUGAAGUAUUGCGGUUGUUUGAAGAGAGACUAUCAAGCCAUGCCAUGCAGAAGACGCCGGCGGCCAUUUUAGCGGCGCAGGUUCGACAGGGUUCUCCCGGUCCCCCUGGCAACGACGGAUCCCCAGGGCUUCCAGGGGAAGAAGGCCCCCCCGGCCCUCAAGACAAAUGAAGAAUUGGGAGGAGAAUAAGAGAAAGUAAUAUCAGUUUGGACAGAAAAGAGCACCACGAUUGAUACCUCACUCCCCUCAACUCCACGAAAAACAAAGCUCUGGUAAAACGUAAAAGGAAAGGAGUGAGGGAGAGAGGGUGGAGAGUGGACAUCCUUUGUCAAACCCUGGGCAACUCUCUGACUGCUCAGCUCACACAAACAACCUCCUUCAUCAAUAACGACUCUCUGACUGCUCAGCUCACACAAACAACCUCCUUCAUCAAUAACGACUCUCUGACUGCUCAGCUCACACAAACACACUCCUUCAUCAAUAACAAUUUGAUUUGCUACCUCUAUAAGACAUUGAAUAGAAUUACCUAGCAUGCUGCGCCCACUGUGCAAUCUCUUCUAGUUCCUGUUGUAAGAGCCAUGCAAGUUCUAGUGAUGAAUUAUACUGCUAAACAUAUAGGUGCUUUGCGGUUCCAUGUAGAUCCCGUUUGAGAGCCAUGUUUAUGAAGAGAGUCAUCGAUUGAACCCUUUUUGGUUCAAUAUAGUACCAUCUCUUCUAGCAGUGUCAUGUGUCCUAAUGUGUUGGUCCUUAUAUCUUAGAGCAGGGGUGGGCAGCUCCAGUCCUCCAGGGCCUGGUUGGUCUCACACUUUUUCUCCAUCCCUAGCAAACACAGCUGAUUAAUCACCUGGCAUUCUAAACUGAAGAUCAGGAUCAGGUGAUUAUUAGAGUCAGGUGUGUUAGCUGGGCUGGAGCGAAAACUGUGGCACCAAUCAGGCCCUGGAGGACUGGAAUUGCCCACCCCUAUCUUAGAGCAGGGGCAUCUAGCUACCUCACAGUGUUCCAUUUAUCUAACUACCAGUGUUAACGUUGAUACAGUAUAACUGACUACGAGUAAGAUAAUAUGCGGCUGUCAACAAUUACAAUGUAACUACCAAGUGAAUGUACUUAAUCUACUGUGUCUAGACCACGUUUCCCAAACUGGGUCCUGGGGACCCCAAGGGGUGCAUGUUUUGGUUUAUGCCCUAGUACUACACAGCUGAUUCAAAUAGGGCAAACACCAAAACGUGCACCCGUUAGGGUCCCCAGGACCCAGUUUGGGAAACGCUGGUCUAGGCUAAUCGUAUUCAUCAUAUUAAGUAACACUCAGAAUUCAACUGACCUGUUUCUAUUAAUUUAAUGGUUUUCCCUGUUUGAUUUGAUAUGCUUCAAUGUCCUGUCUGGUUUAUUUGAUAUGCUUCAAUGUCCUGUCUGUUUAUUUUAUAUGCUUCAAUGUCCUGUCUGGUUUAUUUGAUAUGCUUCAAUGUCCUGUCUGGUUUAUUUUAUAUGCUUCAAUGUCCUGUCUGGUUUAUUUGAUAUGCUUCAAUGUCCUGUCUGGUUUAUUUGAUAUGCUUCAAUGUCCUGUCUGGUUUAUUUUAUAUGCUUCAAUGUCCUGUCUGUUUAUUUGAUAUGCUUCAAUAUCCUGUCUGUUUAUUUUAUAUGCUUCAAUGUCCUGUCUGGUUCAUUUGAUAUGCUUAAAUGUCCUGUCUGUUUGAUUUGAUAUGAUUCAAUGUCCUGUCUGGUUUAUUUGAUAUGCUUCAAUGUCCUGUCUGGUUUAUUUGAUAUGCUUCAAUGUCCUGUCUGUUUAUUUGAUAUGCUUCAAUGUCCUGUCUGGUUUAUUUUAUAUGCUUCAAUGUCCUGUCUGGUUUAUUUGAUAUGCUUCAAUGUCCUGUCUGGUUUAUUUGAUAUGCUUCAAUGUCCUGUCUGGUUUAUUUUAUAUGCUUCAAUGUCCUGUCUGUUUAUUUGAUAUGCUUCAAUAUCCUGUCUGUUUAUUUUAUAUGCUUCAAUGUCCUGUCUGGUUCAUUUGAUAUGCUUAAAUGUCCUGUCUGUUUGAUUUGAUAUGAUUCAAUGUCCUGUCUGUUUAUUUGAUAUGCUUCAAUGUCCUGUCUGGUUUAUUUGAUAUGAUUCAAUGUCCUGUCUGUUUGAUUUGAUAUGCUUCAAUGUCCUGUCUGUUUAUUUGAUAUGCUUCAAUGUCCUGUCUGUUUAUUUUAUAUGAUUCAAUGUCCUGUCUGUUUGAUUUGAUAUGCUUCAAUGUCCUGUCUGUUUAUUUUAUAUGAUUCAAUGUCCUGUCUGUUUGAUUUGAUAUGCUUCAAUGUCCUGUCUGUUUGAUUAGAUAUGCUUCAAUGUCCUGUCUGGUUUAUUUGAUAUGCUUCAAUGUCCUGUCUGGUUCAUUUUAUAUGCUUCAAUGUCCUGUCCGGUUUAUUUGAUAUGAUUCAAUGUCCUGUCUGAUUCAUUUGAUAUGCUUUAAUGUCCUGUCUUGUUUAUUUGAUAUGCUUCAAUGUCCUGUCUGUUUGAUUUGAUAUGCUUCAAUGUCCUGUCUGGUUUAUUUGAUAUGAUUCAAUGUCCUGUCUGUUUGAUUUGAUAUGCUUCAAUGUCCUGUCUGGUUUAUUUGAUAUGAUUCAAUGUCCUGUCUGUUUGAUUUGAUAUGCUUCAAUGUCCUGUCUGUUUAUUUUAUAUGCUUCAAUGUCCUGUCUGUUUAUUUUAUAUGCUUCAAUGUCCUGUCUGUUUGAUUUGAUAUGCUUCAAUGCUUUAAAGUGGUUCUAAUCAAAAUGCAGCUUCUUCUUUACAAAUAAUUAUUUGUUGGGAAAAUCAAGAGGAAAAUGUUUGUCUCUUGGGGUAAAUCGGAAAGAAAUUCAACAACUUUUUAAUUCUGCCGUUGUUGACUUGUGCCUCCUCUACUCCACGCUGCUGGGCGAGAGAGAGAGAAGGAGAGAGAGAGAGAGAGAGGUACAGAGGGAGGGAGAGAGGUACAGAGAGGGAGGGAGGGAGAGAGAGAGAGGGAGGGAGGGAGAGAGAGAGAGAGAGAGAGAGGGUGAGAGUGAGGGAGGGAGAGAGAGGGGGAGAGAGGGAGAGAGUGAGGGAGGGAGAGAGAGAGGGAGAGAGUGAGGGAGGGAGAGAGAGGGGGAGAGAGUGAGGGAGGGAGAGAGAGGGGGAGAGAGUGAGUUUGGGCUAAUAUUUUCUCAUUAUGUCUGUCAUCCUCCACUGGAGAGCAUCUCUCCUCUGGAAUAUCCAAUUUGACUUCCUCUGAAAUGUGCCAAAAUGAAGAGUUUAUGAAGAAAAAUAACCUCUCUGCUGGAUCCACCCUCUCUUCUUGACUCAUGGUUUUGAUAUGACUUGGGGCCGUGAUCUGUCAAACUAUUGAAGUACAUCCAUAGACAUAGAUCCAUGGAUACAGUCUCCAGAUGAUGUUAAUUGUAGCGAUGGGGGAUUAGGGGGUUUGUAGAUGUUCUUACAUAACUUUGUCACUGUUUGAUGUUAUUGGGUCAUCUUUGCCAUUUUUUUCACAUUUUUUGACUUAUGUCACUAUUUUUAUUGACCUCUGUCACUGCGUUUAAAUUUGAUUGUAUUUUAUAAGACAUUAUAGGCUUUCUUCCCGUACACAUGUACCAUAUUGAAAAUGUAUAAAUCCAUCAUGUUUUACGUUGACAUUUAUUUGGCCGGUUUGCCAUAUUCCGAUUGUGUAUUACACCUUGCCAUACAUCUUGGGUUUGUUCAUUGUGCAUUUGCACCUGCUAUUUCAGAGAGAGUAAAAAACACAUAAAAGCUAAUAAACGAAUACAGUCAGUAGCCUGCAGGUAUGAAUGCAUUGAUUAUAUUGUAAAGCCAUGAGGCAGGUGUGGAUGCUUAGUGAAUCAGCCACUAAGUACAGUCUACAGUUCCCUUUCCAGCAUCCAGGCAGUUUCUUAAUCACUGUCAUUUACACAGCAGUGUCCCCCUGGCUCUCUGUGCUGCUUUCUGUUGGUCAAUGAAGCUGGGAAACACAAUACUGCUUGUCAAUGUAUCUGUAGGAUGUCGGUCCCCUCAGUGGAUCAAUAUGUCAUAUCCUCUUCAUCCCCGUGGGCCCAUGCAGUGGUUUGAUGUUUUAAAGGUGAAAUCUGUGAUUUGUACAGCAAAUUUUUUUUUUUUUUCAAUUUUCAGUUAAUCAUUUAUAGCCAUUGAUUCCUAAAGAAUAUAAGUUAUGAAUGCCUCAUGAGCUUAGUAGAACUGUCUUACACCGUCAGUGUAAUGGUAAACAAACACUGUGUAGCUUCAGAAUGUGGUUAAACUAUAAUUUUGAUCUCCUGGAUGGUCAGUUCUUUCAUCCAUAGCUCCGUCUAUGAAUUUAAGAGUGGUUACAUUUAUUCAGACACAUCUCUCAGCUGUAUACCAACAAAAGUGGCGGGGCUGGAGCAUCUGCUUUGUUGUUGUUUGAAUGACGGACUACAGCUUUAAGGUACAGUGCUAUUCUUUCCCAUGGAAUGCUACAGUAUGCCGGCUCCCUGAGUGAGGGUUGGAGGCGCCGUGCGUGUUUGAAAGGAGACUCAU